GUGGGGAAUAUUGGUCAAUGGGGGCAACCCUGAACCAGCGACGCCGCGUGAGUGAAGAAGUAUUUCGGUAUGUAAAGCUCUAUCAGCAGGGACGAUGAUGACGGUACCUGACUAAGAAGCCCCGGCUAACUACGUGCCAGCAGCCGCGGUAAUACGUAGGGGGCAAGCGUUAUCCGGAUUUACUGGGUGUAAAGGGAGUGUAGGUGGUCAUGCAAGUCUGAAGUGAAAGCCCGGGGCUCAACCCCGUGACUGCUUUGGAAACUGUGUGACUGGAGUGCAGGAGAGGUAAGCGGAAUUCCUAGUGUAGCGGUGAAAUGCGUAGAUAUUAGGAAGAACACCGGUGGCGAAGGCGGCUUACUGGACUGUAACUGACACUGAGGCUCGAAAGCGUGGGGAGCAAACAGG
rnacentral:rRNA from 1 species